rnacentral:lncRNA from 1 species
UUGAUCUAUGAGAAGACUUGGCUCUCCAUCUUGCUACCAAGAAGUUAAAGGAAGAAUUUGAAAGUUCUGAAUCUGAAUCACUUGUUCCCCUAGGCAAGAGAGUUGCACUUCUAACAUAUAUGGUUACAAUUCAAGAUUCUCAAAAGAAGAUGCACUGAACGGUACAAUUGCCUUCGUGGUCAUAAGUAUGCUCCAGGAGCCACAUGGCCAGGCUCUGGCACCAUGGAAGAGCAUGCAAGGCACCCCUCUGCUAGAAAACAGACAUUCCAGUGUUUCUCAGUUACAGGUGGCUAGCAGCAAAGAGUUCCACCCUGCCAUUAACCAAAGAGAAGCCUCACUGAAAAGGAUCAAGAGCUCUGUGUUUCAUCAAUUUAACAUCCUAGCAUUAGCACCAGCCAAGCAGACACAGCCAGCCUGCCAAGACAAACAAAUGGGUCUUGGCUAAAGGGGCGCCCAUCUCUGGAGACAGCCCUCCAGUCUAAACUUCUUAAGGAGUCCAUAUAAACGUGCUUUUAUUGAAAGGUGCUACUCCAUCUAAAAAGCACAGAUUCAGUUCAAACACUACCACCUUUCACGGUUAUGUUGGCUUAAGGUGUGUGCAGCUCAAUGACCGUGCAAAACCUGCGUCACAGCUACCUGCUGCUCACUUUUUAAAUCCCCAAACCAAAACUUCUGGAGCCACAUUGAACACUGGCUGUUUUAUCAGAAAGAAAAUAAGAGUGAAGAAGGAUGCUGGGCCACAGAAUCUUUUCCUGCCUCCACCCCAACCCCAUCCAAAUAGAGAGCUGCACUAGGUGAAUAAAUGGUUAUAGGUCUCCUCUGUUUCUCUAGCCUAGUGGAUAGAAUUUAAACUUAGUGUGGGAAUGUCACUCCUUCAUUCCUUUUCUGGAGUUUGUCAGUAAGCGAACAUUGCUUAAAGGUUGAGCUUCUUGGAGAUGUGGGGUGGGCAGGGCUAAAUUGUGAAAUCUAUUAAAAACUGAAAAGAUUUUACAGAAAACUAUAAAUUUUUAACUAAAUUUAAAAGAAAAUCCACUAGCAAACAUUUAUUGAACAUUUACUCUGUGUUGAAUUCUGGGAAAAGUGUGGGGCUAUGAAAGAGAACAUGGCACUUACCAUCCUAGAGAAACUAUAAAUCUAAUUCAGUCAAAUACUAAUGGCAACAACUAAGAAUAAAAACUACAUCCUGAAAGUUUGCAAGAUUUGGAUUCCUAAGAAUGUGCAAGAAGUGUCUCUACAAAGUAAUGGACCAAAAUUCUAUGAGAUAGUUUGGAAAAGUAGUCUCACAACUUAGUGUUCAAACUGCAUAACCUUCAUCUUAGAAGUUUCAGGCGUUUGUGUGUCACCAAAUGAGUAUUCAAGCAUUCACAAUCACAAGGAGCCACCCUCACAGGAGCGGCAGUAGUCUUGUAUUCAUUCAUCCUCUGAGCAUUGGGCUUCUAAAAUGUGCCAAGCACUCCAUCCAGGUGUUGGAAAUGUAAUGGUAACAAGACAGAAAUCUAAGCCCUUGCCCUCAUGAAGUUGAUAAUCCAGUUCAGGAGAGAGAAUAUUAAUAAGUAAAUAAAUAAACACCAUUGCUUAGUUAGUGACAACUAUGAUGCUAAAAAUUAGCCUGGGUCCUGGGAAGAUCUGAGAUGGAGGGGCAGGUAUCAGAGGAACCAUUUUAAGAAAGGGUAGUCCAGAUUGGCUCAAGAAGGAAUACUUGAGCAAAAAUCUGAAGGAUCAAAAGGAGCCAACUAUGUAGGAGGAGUGACUGGCAAAGGAAGUAGCAAGAGGAAGAAAUGAGCUUAGCAAGUUCCAAGAACAAAAACGCCAAUGUGGCUUGAACAUAGUCAACCAGGGUGGAAUAGUAAGGCUAGAGGCCAGUCUUUACCAAGGCUUGGAUCAUGUAAGGCCUUGCAGAUGAUGGUACAAAGUUUGGCUUUUAUUCUGACAGUGAUAGGAGGCAGCUAGGGUGGGAGGGUUAAAAGUGGGGGCGAUAUGAUCUGAUUUACUUGUUUUAAUGUCCACUCUGACUGUACUCAUUCAUUCAAACAUUUGUUCAGCAUUAACUAUGUCCUACACACUGGGGAUCCAGGAUUGAACUAAAAAGGGCAAAAUCUCUACCUUCAUGAAGUUUGGGUGCAGGACAGGGGUUUUAGGGGCAAUAAAUACAAAGCACACACUUAAGCUUAAUGUUUCAAGUUGAUAUGGUUUCCCUGUGUCCCCACCCAAAUCUCACCUUGAAUUGCAAUAAUCCCCAUGUGUCAAGGGUGGGGCCAUGUGGAGAUAACUGAAUUAUGGGGGCAGGUUUCCCCCAUACUGUUCUCAUGGUAGUGAAUAAGUCUCAUGAGAUCUAAUGGUUUUAUAAAUGGGAGUUUUUCUGCACAAGUUCUCUUGUCUGCCACCAUGUAAGAUGUGACUUUGCUCCUCAUUCAGCUUCUGCCAUGAUUGUAAGGCCUGCCCAGACAUGUGAAACUGUGAGUCAAUUAAACUUCUUUCCUUUAUAAAUUACCCAGUCUUGGGCAUAUCUUUAUUAGCAGCAUGAGAACUGACUAAUACACAAGUGAUAAUGUCCUAUCAAUAAAAAGAGAA